rnacentral:lncRNA from 1 species
AUGAAGCAAAUAAGUAAAGGCGUCGCAUGUCCCUCUCACACCAUAUAAGCAUUAUAAAACCUAUGGCUUUCAAAGCUUCUAUAGCAAACAAUCCCACCAUAACACUACAUUUAAAGACUUCACUAAAAAAAUCGAGAGAAAAUCAACUUACCUUUGCUUGACCUAAAUUAAAGAGAAAGACACAACCGGUCACUGAAAAAUAACAAAGCAAUCCUUUUAACUUCUCUUAAAAGAAACAACACAUGCUAACAUCGAUCUAUCGAUAAAAAUAAUAAACUAUAUCAGUAGCUAUAUCUGUAUUUCAAGAAUAUAUACAUACACAUACCUUCAACCCCCACCCCUCCAAUCCCACCCCACCCCCCACACAAAAAACAAAAGAGGGUGUAAACAAGAAUCUUCACCUAACACCAACCCACAUUGUAAGAAAAUCAAGAAUGUAAGUGCAAUUAAUGUAAUUUACGAUAGAAUAACAAACCAAAUACUGUAUAUAGAGAGAAAUUGAUUCAAAAAAAUGAAUCUUGAUUCAAGAAACUCCACUUUCUGCUGUAAUAUAAUUGCAAAAAGCAAGUAAUUUCAAUUCAAAUCAGUAAAUGCAACAAGAAAUACCCAAAAACACAAAAGCCAAAAUUUUCAAUAUAGGUUGGUCCAAACCUACAAAUCGAGUGAUUCUUAAAUUGGGGUUUUCUUUCAUUUCUCAAAUUACUGAGGAAGAAACUGGAAAGAGAAAGAAAAACCGGCUCUAAUUAAACUAAGGAAGAGAACUUAAAUCCACACACACAAAAAAAAUCACUUAAAAUAAUCAAAAUCAGCAACCGUAAGUUUACACCCCCAUUUGAAUGAAGCAAAAACCAAAAACGAAAAAACCCACUAACCCUGAUUCUAAAUAAUCUCACAUUUUAAACUUCAAAUCAUUAUAACUUCAAUAAAUCAAAAAAACAAUGCCAAUAAAAGAAGGGGUAAAAUAACCCAAAACCAAAAACCCAGAAACAACACAACAAUGGAUAUACUUAGAUAGUGUGUCAACUAACCCCAGAUCUGAAAAAUUAUAUACACAUACCCCCCCUCCCGUCCCACCCCACCCCGAUAACCCACCCACCCCUCAAUCCCAAAAAAAACACAAAGAGAGAAAAUAGGAAGUGUACCGCUGUGCCGCUGUUUUCAUCGCUGUGUCGCUGCUUUUCCUUUGCUGUGUCGCUGCUUUCAUCGUGAGGUUGCCCGAAUUUUCGUCGGUAAGGUCGCCGAGAUUUUCGUUGGUGAGCCGUGUGAGAGUUGUUUGAAAAGGAAAAGGGGUAAUUGGAAGGGAAAAGGGGCAAGUAAGAUGGGCUGUCCGGGUCGGGUCAAAUUAUUGGG